rnacentral:misc_RNA from 1 species
GGUGUUCGUGAGGCAUCGAAAGCCAGCCUCGGAUCAACGACCAUCGCCCACGACGCCAGCAUCACCGCGGCACAGGACGCAAUGAAGGCCAGCGCAACCCACAGGCCUCUGCCCGACUUCUCGAAAUGACGGAUGAGAAUCGGGAUCGCAAUCAGCUUGCCAACCGGGUUGACCGCAUGCAGGCGCGCAGCCCACGCAAUGUCCGUCGACCACAGCGUGCCGGCAAGGGCCAGCGCAAAAAGUG